CCCGAGAGCCCGCAUCAUGGAUGUCGAGCUCUCCUAUUUCGCUUUGCUCGCCUUGGAAUUCGAGACCCCAGACGAGGACCAGGAUUCAUGAACCGGUCGCAGGGGCCCGGGCAGGGGCCUCUGGCUCCCGACGCUGGCCGAGAGGACUGGCUCUGACCACCCUCUCUGAGUAUUAGAAUGUCAGACUUGCUGCUGAGACUGUGCUGUAAGCUGAGACACUCCAUGCUCAGAGGACCCUGUUUGAAAACUUCUGAUAAGAAAACCAGAAGAUAAACUGAAUGGCUCAAUGUCAAGGUGAUGAGUGAGGUCGGAAGAUCGCAAGAUUUAAAAAGCAUCUGGAGUCUCCGUAUUGAAAGACCCAGUGCAAAGGCAUCACCAUGAACACGAGCAUUCCUUAUCGGCAGAAUCCUUACAAUCCCCGGGGCAGCUCCAAUGUCAUCCAGUGCUAUCGAUGUGGAGACACCUGCAAAGGGGAGGUGGUUCGCGUCCACAAUAACCAUUUCCACAUCAGAUGCUUCACCUGUCAAGUGUGUGGCUGUGGCCUGGCUCAGUCAGGCUUCUUCUUCAAGAACCAGGAGUACAUCUGCACCCAGGACUACCAGCAACUCUACGGCACCCGCUGUGACAGCUGCCGGGACUUUAUCACGGGCGAGGUCAUCUCUGCUCUGGGCCGCACCUACCACCCCAAGUGCUUCGUGUGCAGCUUGUGCAGGAAGCCUUUCCCCAUUGGAGACAAGGUGACCUUCAGCGGGAAGGAAUGUUUGUGUCAGACAUGCUCCCAGUCCAUGACGAGCAGUAAGCCCAUCAAGAUCCGUGGACCAAGCCACUGCGCUGGGUGCAAGGAGGAGAUCAAGCAUGGCCAGUCACUCCUGGCUCUGGACAAGCAGUGGCACGUCAGCUGCUUCAAAUGCCAGACCUGCAGCAUCAUCCUCACCGGGGAGUACAUCAGCAAGGAUGGCGUUCCAUACUGCGAGUCUGACUACCACUCCCAGUUUGGCAUUAAGUGCGAGACUUGUGACCGAUACAUCAGCGGCAGGGUCUUGGAGGCAGGAGGGAAGCACUACCACCCAACCUGUGCCAGAUGUGUACGCUGCCACCAGAUGUUCACCGAAGGAGAGGAGAUGUACCUCACAGGCUCUGAGGUUUGGCACCCCAUCUGCAAACAGGCAGCCCGGGCAGAGAAGAAGUUAAAGCAUAGGCGGACGUCUGAAACUUCCAUCUCACCCCCUGGAUCUAGCAUCGGGUCACCCAACCGAGUCAUCUGCGACAUCUAUGAGAACCUGGACCUCCGGCAGAGACGGGCCUCCAGCCCGGGAUACAUCGACUCCCCCACCUACGGCCGGCAGGGCAUGUCCCCCACCUUCUCCCGCUCACCUCAUCACUAUUACCGCUCCGCUGGAGAAAGUAACAUCUACCGGAAACCCCCGAUCUACAAACGGCAUGGUGAUUUGUCGACAGCAACCAAGAGCAAAACAAGUGAAGACAUCAGCCAGGCCUCCAAGUACAGCCCAGCCUACUCGCCAGACCCCUACUAUGCUGCGGAGUCUGAGUACUGGACCUACCACGGGUCCCCCAAAGUGCCCCGAGCCAGAAGGUUCUCGUCUGGAGGAGAGGAGGACGAUUUUGACCGCAGCAUGCACAAGCUCCAGAGUGGAAUUGGCCGACUAAUUCUGAAGGAAGAGAUGAAGGCCCGGUCCAGUUCCUACGCAGAUCCCUGGACCCCACCCCGGAGCUCCACCAGCAGCCGAGAGGCCCUGCACACAGCUGGCUAUGAUAUGUCCCUAAAUGGCUCCCCUCGGUCCCACUACCUGGCUGACAGCGACCCCCUCAUCUCCAAAUCUGCCUCCCUGCCUGCCUACAGAAGAAACGGGCUGCACAGGACACCCAGCGCAGACCUAUUCCAUUACGACAGCAUGAACGCUGUCAACUGGGGCAUGCGAGAGUACAAGGUAAAGCUACACAGACCCUGGGGGUCUCCAGGACCCUGCAUGUUGCUACACUGGGGACCAGCAGGAAGAUGACAGCACUGUCUAUGCCGGGAAGGGAACAUCGAUAAAUAACCCCAAGGGUCCUCUCAAGACUAGCAUUUCCAGUCCCUCCUUGGCCCAGUUUCCCUGAAUCCUGCCCUACAUCUCUUGCCUCCUGAAACCAGACAGUUCCCCCGGGCCUCGGAGACUCUCUAGAGGCUUGCCAAUCACAGAUAUGAGACAUUUACACUCAGGAGCCCUUGUGCUCACAUUAAGGCCAAAUGCAACCAAGCGCAUCCCUGGCAGUAUUCAAGGACUCCAGGGCCUUGCCUUUUGGGAGAAGGUGCCUUGAGGCUGCCAGGAAACCCCAAAGAGGACAUACUCAGCCCUUCCUCCAGACUUUAAUCUCUGGCUCUUUAUGGACAGAGGAGGGAGCCCCAGCCAGACACAAAAUAUGUCUGAAGGGACAAGCCCACCACCCUGACCCAACCUACAAAUAUCCCCCCUCCUCUCUUCUUAGAUCUACCCUUAUGAACUGCUCCUGGUGACCACAAGAGGCAGAAACCGACUGCCCAAGGAUGUGGAUCGGACGCGUUUAGAGCGCCACCUGUCCCAGGAAGAGUUCUACCAAGUCUUCGGCAUGACCAUCUCCGAAUUUGACCGGCUGGCCCUCUGGAAGAGGAAUGAACUGAAGAAGCAAGCCCGGCUGUUCUAGGCAGAAGCUCUAUAAAUAUAUAUGCAUUUAUAUAAAGAUAUAUGUAAAAUCUCUAUACUGAAGCUCGGUAUAAUCCUCUCUUGUGUAAUGGGACACACUGCCUGCCAUGAGACUUGCUUUUCUGUAUCGUCAGGCAAGCCCACAUCUUCAAGAUAUUUUUAUGCUCCUUCCUUUCUCUUUUCUAAGUGCAAUGGGAUUUGGGAAGGGAUUCGUGGGGACUCCCAUCCUUUUACUGGGAAGCCUUUUUAUACUGAAACAUCUCUCCUGACUUGAGUCCCCUAAGGUCCAACUCUCUUUGCUAAAGGAGGUGCCUGAAGGAGUCUCUCUUCUCUCUGCUUCUCGGCUCUUUUCCCCAGUCUCCAGGGAGGAUGCUGCAGUUUUCACACCUUAUUGGCCCCAGAGGGGCCCUCUCAUGGGAGGAUCCACAGCAUUCUCCCCAAGUCACUGAGCACCUUUGAGAGCCCUGAAGAAUUUUCUCAUCACCCCCACUAGGACCUCAAUGCUGUCUGGGGGUGAUGCAGCUAGAAAUGUGGGUUUCAUGUCUACUCGUUACAGAAGUAAACAAGUGGAUAGGGCCUUGGCCUCUCCUCUCCUCUUCAAUCCUCCUUCUCUCCUUGAUCCUCACCUCUCUCUAGUCCAAAUCUACGCCUCAUGGUAGGAAAAGAAAAAGCACUUCCCUUCCCUGCACUAUUACUUCCAAUGGCCCCCUGCCUGGCCCCUAUGUGGAGAACCAGAGGGAGGGAGCAGGAGCUGGAAGCAGGAGACAGAGCAGGGCACCCGUUAGCAUUGGAGCUGCAGGACCUCUUGGGACCCUCCCUCAUUGCUCCCAGAACCUCCUGACCCUUCCCCCUUUGGAGGAGAGGCCCAUUAUUGCAGCCUGUAUUUUUCAGCCUUACUACAAUCUAUGUGCCUGACAACUCACCACAGGGCUAAUGUUCCCACCACAGCUCCAACCGAACAACUAGACAGACAACCUCUAACACCCCUGCCAAAGGUAAUAUAGGCCAUGUCCUAUAGAAAGUUUCCUGGCCUAUGUCUUCUGGUCCCUGGGCUGGCAGAGCAACCCAACCAGACCCCCACCAGUCCUCAGCUUGCAUUGCAAAGUUGGCCAUGGUUCAUGGGGGAAACUUUUGAAGAAUGACUACUUAUGAGAUUCCAAAAUGGAGCAUUGGCCAACACCACUCAUGGUCAUACUGAUUUCCCCAGUGGCUGCCUUUCCUGCCUCCUUGGCUUCUGGAACAGGGGUGAAAGCUUAACCUUCUCCCCACCCCAAACCUGCAACCACGAGUUGGUGAUGUCUGGUGGGGUCUGUUCCUUCCUGGAGAUGGCUGGAGUCAGACCACUGAGGUCGUGGAGGAAGGAUGAAGAAGUGGAGAUGACAGUUACCACUCUCAAGUGGUUAUGUGUGGUGGCAAAUGUAGAACUGACUUCAACUCAACAAACCCUCACUGAGCACCUGCUGUAUACUGAGCACCUGCUGUAUACUGAGCACUAAAUGGGGGAGGGAGAUGGAAAUACUGGGAUGAGCAACAUGGGGCCCGACCUCAGGGGCAUGCCUACUAACAAUGGGUACCGUAAGGCAGGUACCCAAACAUGAUGGAUGUGAGGCAGAAAGUGAUAGGAGACAGCAUGAGAAAAUGUGACAUUACUAAGAAGGCAUAUGCAGCUGGUGCAGACCAAGGAAAGCUUUCUGGAAGAGACUGCAUUUGAGCGAAGUUCAGGAAGGAUCUUUGUAAACUGGGAGGAGACUGUAACUUGAAAGGGUGAUAGGAUGAGGGGCCGUAAGGGAGGUCUAAUAUGCUCUCACUUAAAAUGUCAGCCCUCUCUGCGUCUUUUCUUUUUGGCCAAUGUCUUUCAACUGUCCUGACCCCUUUGGAAAUGUCCCCAGCCAGACACAAUCAUUGAAACUGCCUCAUUAUCACUGGUUGAGAACUUGGCGAGAUUGAAGGGCUUUUGUUAUUGUUGGAUAUUUUUUUCCCAUAAAUGCACAUAAUUUCAACCCA